ACGAACGCUGGCGGCGCGCCUCACACAUGCAAGUCGCACGGAGCUGAGAGAAGCUUGCUUUUCUUAGCUUAGUGGCGAACGGGUGAGUAACGCGUGAGUAACCUGCCCUGGAGUGGGGGACAACAGUUGGAAACGACUGCUAAUACCGCAUAAGCCCACGAUCCGGCAUCGGAUUGAGGGAAAAGGAUUUAUUCGCUUCAGGAUGGACUCGCGUCCAAUUAGCUAGUUGGUGAGGUAACGGCCCACCAAGGCGACGAUUGGUAGCCGGACUGAGAGGUUGAACGGCCACAUUGGGACUGAGACACGGCCCAGACUCCUACGGGAGGCAGCAGUGGGGGAUAUUGCACAAUGGGGGAAACCCUGAUGCAGCGACGCCGCGUGGAGGAAGAAGGUUUUCGGAUUGUAAACUCCUGUCGUGAGGGACGAUAAUGACGGUACCUAACAAGAAAGCACCGGCUAACUACGUG
rnacentral:rRNA from 1 species